UGCGUAGGCGGAUCAGUAAGUCAGUGGUGAAAUCUUUCGGCUCAACCGGGAAACUGCCAUUGAUACUGUUGAUCUUGAGUUCGGUUGAGGUAGGCGGAAUGUGUAAUGUAGCGGUGAAAUGCUUAGAUAUUACACAGAACACCAAUUGCGUAGGCAGCUUACUAGACCGACACUGACGCUGAGGCACGAAAGCGUGGGGAUCGAACAGGAUUAGAUACCCUGGUAGUCC
rnacentral:rRNA from 1 species